GGGAGCCGAAGAGAGUAAAUACAACAGGAGCGCAAAAUGGCGGAGCCGCCGAGCCCAGUGCAUGGCACCGCGGCUACCGCCGCCGUCGCCGCCGUCUCGGAGAAAGAACCGUUUGGCAAGCUGCAGUCCCCGCCCGGGGACCCACCGAGCUCCCUGUCCGCCAAAAAGGUCCGAACUGAGGAGAAGAAGGCGCCGCGGAGAGUGAACGGAGAAGGAGGCAGCGGUGGGAACAGCAGGCAGCUGCAGCCGCCGCCGCCAGCGGUACCUUCGCCUCAGAGCUAUGGCAGCCCCGCGUCUUGGAGCUUCGCCGCUCUGUCUGCUGUCCCCUCCCCGUCUUCCUCUUCCCGGAGCAGUUUCUCUUUCUCCGCUGGCUCGGCCGCCCCCUCCUCAGCCUCCGCUUCCUCGUCUCAGCCGCUGCCGCGCAAACUGCUGGUCCCUCCUACGCUGCUGCAUGCUCAGGCUCACCAUCUCCUGGUGCCGGCCGCCGCCUCCUCGGCCAACGCCAAGCCGCGCAGACCCAAAGAGAAGCGGGAGAAGGAGAGACGGAGGCACGGCCUCGGCGGGGCGGGAGAGGCCGUCGGCGCCGCCCGGGAGGAGAAUGGGGAGGUGAAGCCGCUGCAGCGAGAUAAAAUCAAAGACAAAAUCAAAGAGAGAGACAAAGAAAAAGAGAGGGAAAAGAAGAAGCAUAAAGUAAUGAAUGAGAUCAAGAAAGAGAAUGGAGAAGUAAAGAUUUUGCUGAAAGGUGGGAAGGAGAAACCAAAAACAAAUAUAGAAGAUUUGCAAAUUAAGAAGGUAAAGAAGAAAAAGAAAAAGAAACACAAAGAGAAUGAAAAACGGAAGCGUCCAAAAAUGUAUAGCAAGUCUAUUCAGACCAUCUGUUCAGGAUUGCUGUCUGAUGUUGAAGAUCAAGAAGCCAAAGGGAUCCUAAAUGAUAACAUAAAGGAUUACAUUGGAAAGAAUUUGGAUACCAAGAACUAUGAUUCCAAAAUUCCAGAGAACAGUGAGUUUCCGUUUGUCUCAUUAAAGGAGCCACGGGUUCAGAAUAACCUCAAAAGGUUGGACACUUUGGAGUUCAAACAGCUCAUUCAUAUUGAGCACCAGCCUAAUGGAGGUGCGUCAGUUAUCCAUGCCUACAGUAAUGAACUCUCCCACUUAUCUCCUGUGGAGAUGGAGAGGUUUGCAGAAGAGUUUGUGGGACUGGUGUUCAGUGAAAACGAAACCUCUGCAGCUUUCUAUGUAAUGGGUAUUGUUCAUGGGGCAGCUACUUAUUUACCUGACUUUUUAGACUACUUUUCGUUUAAUUUUCCCAAUUCGCCAGUGAAAAUGGAGAUAUUGGGAAAGAAAGAUAUAGAGACGACGACUAUGUCCAAUUUUCAUGCUCAGGUAAAAAGAACAUAUUCUCAUGGUACUUACAGAGCUGGCCCAAUGCGACAGAUUAGCUUGGUGGGAGCAGUUGAUGAAGAAGUGGGAGAUUACUUCCCUGAGUUCCUUGACAUGUUGGAAGAUUCACCGUUUUUAAAAUGUACGCUUCCAUGGGGAACAUUAUCUAGUCUGAAAUUAGAGAGUCGAAAAGACAGUGAUGAUGGUCCUAUCAUGUGGGUACGUCCAGGAGAACAAAUGAUCCCUGUGGCUGAUAUGCCAAAGUCACCUUUCAAAAGGAAAAGAACUACCAAUGAAAUAAAAAACCUGCAGUACCUACCUCGAACCAGUGAGCCCCGUGAAAUGCUCUUUGAAGACAGGACAAGAGCCCAUGCAGAUCAUAUAGGACAAGGUUUUGAACGACAGACUACAGCUGCUGUUGGAGUGCUGAAGGCUGUUCACUGUGGAGAGUGGCCUGAUCAACCCCGAAUAACCAAAGAUGUAAUUUGUUUUCAUGCUGAAGAUUUCUUAGAAGUAGUUCAACGAAUGCAGUUAGAUUUACAUGAACCUCCACUGUCCCAGUGUGUCCAGUGGGUUGAUGAUGCAAAACUUAAUCAACUGAGGCGGGAAGGCAUCCGCUAUGCCAGGAUUCAGCUGUAUGAUAAUGACAUUUAUUUUAUUCCGAGGAAUGUUGUGCAUCAGUUCAAGACAGUUUCAGCUGUAUGCAGCUUAGCAUGGCAUGUUCGUCUUAAGUUAUAUCACUCAGAGGACGACACUUCUCAGAAUACAGCUGAUCAUGAAACAAGCACCUCCUCAGAUGCUACGUCAUCAGUCCUUGGACCUCACACUGACAACGUGAUUUGUGCUGUUAGCAAAACCUCCUUGGAUUCUGUUUUUUCAGACAAACUUCAUUCUAAAUAUGAAUUACAGAGAAUUAAACAUGAACCUAUUGCAUCUGUAAGAAUCAAGGAAGAACCCGUGAAUGUUAGUAUUUCUGAAAAGACUAGAGCAUCUAAUAAUAUGGAUAGCAAGAAUAUUAAAGGAAAAUUGGAUCAUGUUCAUUUUACAGACGUGGACUCUAAAUUUGAAAACAGCAACAAAGAUUUAAAGGAAGAAUUGUGCGCUGGAAGUCGUAUAAGUCUAGUUGAUACACGGCAACAUAGUUCAACCCAUUUAAAUCAAGAUAGAAAAGAUGAUGACAUUUUGUGCUAAAUUUGUACAUACCACUUAAAAUUCUGUUUUUUUUUUUUUAAAGUUAAUAAUGUAAUAAAGAUUCAUGAAUUCUGAAAGCAAGCCAAGGACUUGCUCUCAAGUCUGUUACAAAAAAAUAGUUUAUGUAGCUUUGUAACAUUCCUCAGUGCCUGUCCAUAACUGUGAAGUAUCAAAGCACUUAGGGCCAGAUGCACUGUAAACAUUGCAGGUUUAAACAUAGCCUUUGGAUCAUUUGAGUUGUAGGUUUUAGAAUAGAGCUGACAUUAACAUAUAUAUACAUAUAUAUAUACACACAUAUAUAUAUAUAUUUUGUAAUAUGAGCCAGAAUUCUUUGACAGUUUAAGGCUUUUCCAUAGAAUUUAUUUAUACCAAUUUUUUUUUUUUUUUUAAUUUUAAAUGUGUCAGCACUGUAGUGUAAAUAGCUUUUUAAAAAUCUUUUUAGUGUGAUUUAUACUGAAACGUGAGCCACUUAAUAAAGGUUCAUAACAAAUAUGUUUUCUGUUGGGUCUGCAAAAGACAAACUGACAAUUCAGUUAAAUCAUUUAUUUGAAAUAUGUUGUUUAUCUCUGCUGGUGUGUCCCUUUAGAGUGGUAAUGGAGUGCAAAUAUAAGUAUUCAAAUGUAGUGAAUAUUUAAAUUUCCCACACUGUGCAAGCAUUUUUAAAAAUGAAGAUUCAGUUAUGAAAGCAUAUGUAUGUGUGCGUGUGUAUGUAUGGGAAUGUAUAUAUGUAUAUCAUAUUUUGCAUAAUUUCUGAAGUUACUGAAUAAGAUGAAUAUGUGAAAAUUCUUAGCCCUACUCCCUGGAACACAUUUUAAAAUAUUUAUGUUAAACAUUAAGAAAACAGUUUAGGUAAUAGAAACAAUUUUAGAAAGUUAGGAGAAACAAGGUCUGUUACUGAUAUCUAACCCUUCUAACUAGUGAAAUUGUGUGGCCAGAUUACAUAGCCCUAAAAUUUUUCUUGUAGUGAAUAGAAUGAUAAAAAUUGGAGAAAUUUGCUUACUGAUCAGCGCUUGCAUUGCACUUAAUUAUAACAGAGUAAAAGUCUUUAGUUACAAAAAGUUUAAUUGGGAAUGAUUAAGAUCUUUUACAUUUUCAUGUAAAAUGGAAGGAAAAUUUGGCAAAUACAAAGUUGUAAAAUAACAGCAAUACCUCAGCUGCCAUAUACAGAGAUAAAAGUGACAAAGUAAGAUGUAGUAACUCACCUUUCUCAGGACCCCCCCCCCCUCGCCCCCGCAAAGCAAACAACUUGGAGUACUUCCUUUUCAAAAAGAAGCUCUACAAUAUAAAAUUGAGGCAGGAAAUGGGAUUGCUAGUGCCUAGCUAAAGAUAAUGAGCGAAACAGAUGUCUGUAAUGAUGAACUUUUGCAUUAAUUUAGACUUCUUCCACUACUGCAAUUAAAAGAUAAAUGUCUUUGAUGUAUGCUUUAAUGCAAGAAACUCCAUACAUUGUGAAUCUGUUUUAUCUGUCUUUGGUGUUAUUUUGGGUUCAUACUUUGGUCGAUGACUUUUAUCUGGGGUUCUUUGUGCUGCCUUUUAGGCUAAUGUUGCUAUCCCCAUUUCAGUGGUCUGUGCUCUAGCCUCAUUUGUGGUACCCAUCAAAAUUACUCAUCUUUCUGGUUAGGGAGAAGUCACUUAGAAGGUUUUUCACCAGAACAAAAAAAAAUUAACUGCAGCAACGAUGACAGUUUUAAGCUCCCAGGUUAAUAAAAAGGUAGGCAAAUAUUGUAGGAAAUCUGGAUGCUUCGUAGGAAAUUAAUAUAAGUUCAACAUAGGAAGUUUUAUGGGCUACGAAAGGUAUAAAUCAUGUUAAUGUAAAUACGGGUUUUAUUUUUUUUAUAUGUCACUGUCUUAUCCUCCCCACCUGUUCAAUCUUCUAUUAGCUAAAUUUAUAGAUAUGCCCUACUUUUUUGGGAGACAAAAGUUUAUAACAAAUCAGUAUUUGGAAGUAGAGAAUGUGUUUAAAAUGUUUGUUUUUAAUUGAAAGUGACAUAUUUAGUUUUGCUUGUAGUUUUCCAGUAGCAUAUACAUAAAUGCAUGAGAUCAUACUGUAAUGUCUUAAGGUACCCCUCCAAAAUACGUGAGCCUUACACUUAAAGGAAGGCAUAUCUAAAACAAUCAGAAUGAUUGCUUUUAGGUGUAGUUUCAUAUAUAAUCUAUACAUAAACUUCUCCAUAAUUUGAAAUUUUGUUUUUUAAAAUGCAUACAUCUCUUUGGAGGUGAACUAUGAAUCAUGGGCUUAGAUUUCAAGAUACAGCUUUGUUAUUGCCUUGAAUGCUUACUUUCCUUGUUUUAUGGGUUAUAAUUUUAAAACCCUCUUCUAUGUAAUCUGAGAACUUGUUGACUACCUUUGUUACACACAAAUAAUUUCUAUUUUAAUACUGCAUUAUAUUAAUGGUUUUCUAGUUAGUACAUUCCAGUUCUUUAUCUGAACACAGCAAAUUUUUUACUUUCAUUUUCAAUUUCUUAGACCAGAACACUAAAGAACAUUUUCUGACAUGGCCAUAUAAAAUAUAGAAUCAAUUGUCAUGUAAAUUAUUAAAUUCAUAUAUAGAACUUUGGAAAAAAACUAAGGUACCUUAGUGGUGUCUGCUACAGUACUUUUUUUUUUUUUAAUUGCUUUUGUUCAUACCCUUUUAGCAAAGUAACAUAUAUUCCGUACUCAGGUUAGCUGGUUAGCUAGCAAAUGAAUUAAGUAUUUGUGAUAUUUAGUUGAAAACUUUACUAAAGCCAUAUUCAUUAUCUUUGUUGUCACUAAGGCUUAUUGGCCUUAAAGAUUAGGUUGAUUUAGCAUAACACUGUGUGUGUGUGUGUGUGUGUGUAUGUAUCUGUAUGUAAGUUAGUUUGUUGGAAAAAUAUGUUUGUGUCCAUAUACAUUCAUUUUUAAUCCACUCUAUAACUUUUGGGAGGAUUGUGGAGGGUAGGAAAGAUUUUAUUUCUUGGAUUUUAUGUUUAAGGUAUUUUAUUAGUGCUUCUGAGUGCAAAACAGUUUUUUUUUCCCCCAAUAGUUAUGAAAGGUAAGAUCAUUUUUGUAAAUAAUAAAUUAGCACUGUUUUUGGUAAAUUUGCAUUCAUUUAUUUUUGGGACAAGUUCAUUGUCAUGUAAAGCAAAUAUCUCAAAAUUCAUUUUACAUUUAACAAAGGUGCAGGAUUUGUUUUUGAGAGGAAUUUUCCUUGUCUUCCACCUUUCAAUAAAUACUAAAAUUGACAACCAUAAUCUUUUUACCUUUGUUUUGUUUAAUUAUUUCCUUACAUUUAACAUUUUGUUUUAAUCUCGUCAUCUUUAAAAUAAGUUCUUGUUUUUCUGUCUUCAGCAGAAACUCUAAGAUCUUGAAAAUGAUUCCAAUCUGAAGAUCUUUUUUUUCUUCUUCUUAAAAACUAAUUCUCAAAAAUUUACUCACACCAACUGGGAGAAAGAAUAUUGACGAUUGCCAUAAACAAGGUUAAACUACUUAGGGAUGGGUGCUGUGAUGGCAUGGUAAAAGUCAUGCCCCCUGUUUCUGCUAGACAUAACUAUUUUUUUCCAAAGAGGGGAGGACAAAAGUGCUAUUCUUUUAAAAAUACUUUCAGGCUGUUAAAAAGCGACAAUGUGUUUUAGAUCUUCAGAGCGGUUGAAUAGCUCUUAAUCUUUCCCCCACUUGAUACAAUUAGUUUGAUAUGUAAACAAAAUUUUCUGGUUUUAGAAUGAACUCUAUUCUCUGAGUUAUAUUUGAUAUGUUUGGCCUUGACAGUACACUUCAUAUAAGAUAAUUAAGAGGACAACUUGGGGGAGCUAUAAAUCCCUUUAGUUUCUCUAUCCCAGCUUUUCUGUAAUCCACUGCAUAUUGCAGAUGGUAGUAAUCACUUUUUAGAAUGUCAAACACAAGGAGGCUAAAAGCAGAGAUGUCUUUCCUAUAAGCUUACAAUCAUCAUAUGACACAUCUUUACUGGGAGAGCAGGGAAAGGAGAAAACAUUGCAUGUGAUUGAGGUUAUCUUCAGCUAUUCCUGGACUUCAUACCCAAUCAGGGAGUGUGGUGAUCUGAGACCAAACUAUGGGCAAGUAGAAUUUAUGUUAACUGGAAAUUAAAAUUUACUAGUUGAACAUUUCAUUACUAUAAUCUGCCCAUCAAGAACUGUACUCUUAAAAUACGAGAAUUCUGGAUCCUUGUACUCAUUUUGAAAUUUAGAAUUUAUUCAUCUAUUUUAAAAAUGUUAAAUAUGCUUUCAUAUGAAGUUCCUGGCUCUUGUAAAAAUGAAGAUUAUUAAGUGUGCAGACUCAGAGGCAAGUCAAGAUAGUAGCAAAUACUUUGCUUAAUACCAUGUUAAAACAUUUAUUUGGGUGGAUAGUUUGACUCACCCUCCCUUAUGUUUCUUCUUUUCUUGAAAUUUGUUUUUUAGUGAGCCAGAUCUUGUGUAAAAAAUCUCAAGUCUUCUUUAAAAAACUGUUUUCUUGAGUCUGAUUUUUGCUCAGGCUCUUGUUCCAUUUCUGUUCUUGACUGACAGAGUUGUUGAUUUCUGUCUUGCUUCACUUUUUCAUCUUCCAUUCCUUUUCUUACUACAAUUUCAUUCUGAGUUGUCCAUUUCUGAAGUUUUGUUGUUUAUCUCUAGGAUUUCUAGUUGUGGUUUUUGUAAGAUUUCUAAUUAUUUUGAUGUUUUGUUCUGUAUUGUUUUUCUAAAUUCUUCUGUUGCUUUGUUUUCCUUGAUUAUGGCUAUGUUUUGGUUGGUUUUAUCUGUUUUCCAUGAUUUUGUCUGCGUUUUCCUUGAUCUCUUUCCUAAUUUCUUGGAGAGCCCUGAAUAUUAUUCUUUUGGAUUCCCUACCAGGUAGUUCCACUGCCUUGUAUUUGAAGGUCAUCUGAUUCUUUUAUUUUGGUCAUUUGCUAGAGCCAUCUUGUCCUGCUUUUUUAUGUGUUUUGAUAUUGUCUGGUGUUUCUGAGGCUUUACGGUUUUAUUUAUUGACUAUAUAUGUUUUGUCCUGCUUCUUCGUUUUGUUUUGAUAUGUGUGGGCAGGCGAGCCAGGCGAGCUUUGCUGCUUCACCUUGGCCCGGUGGGCAAGGGCAGCAGCAGGUAGGACGAGUGCUGUCUUCUUCCUGAUGUCGAUCCAGCAAAGUAGGAGCCUUCACAGCCCCUCGCCAGUUAGGUGGGGGUGUUGGAUGGGACAGGGAGUGAUAUGGGCUUGCUUCCCUCUGUUCAACAGCUGGUCAAGUGGUGGGAGGAGAGCGUCAGUGCAGCCUGGUGCAGCAGUGGGCCUGAGCGGGGAUGCUCUGGCUACAGUGACACAUUGAGGGUCACUGGGAUAAAGGGCUGGUAUAUGGGGUGAGUGCUCUAUCUCCUGUUGGGAGCUCCAUGAAUUUGCCUUCCUGUACUCCCUGUCCGGAAACCCUGGUGGCGUAGUGGUUCAGUACUAUCGCUGCUAACCAAGAGGUCGGCAGUUUGAAUCUGCCAGGCUCCUAUGGGGUAGUUCUACUCUGUCCUAUAGGGUAGCUAUGAGUUGGAAUCGACUCGACGGCAGUGGGUUUUGGUUGAUACUCCCUGUCUAGGGUCAUUGCUGGCUGUGCUCCAAGAUGGCAACACCCUGCCUUUUUAACUGGCAGGGCACCUCCACUUUAUAUCGCUCCUCUCCCCCUUAAUUUGUUACUGGCAUCACCAUCUCUCUACAGUCAUAGUAAUCUGAUUUCUCUGUCUUUUCCUUUAAGCAUGUCCAAUUUUGUCAUCAAGUUUUCUUGACCUGACCCUAGAAAUGUAUAUAGUCAAUCUACUCGUCAUUUCACAGUCAUAGUAGAUGUUUAUUUAACCUGGACUCUUAAAAAUAGCCUAAAAUACUCUAGGCUGUCUGCAGUCUUCUGCACCUGCCAUUAUUCCCAUCUGUUCUUUGUAAUCACCAGUUUAACCUUUCUAACACAGAUAUGACUGUUAUUCUUUUGCUUAGAAAAUUCCAUGGCUCCUCCUUUCCUAAAGUGUAAAGCCAAAUCCUUAACCUAGCACUGAAGAACCUUCAUAAUAUGGCUCUUCCUUUCCAGAAUCAUCUACCACAAUCUCUUCCAUUUGAUGUACCCAUUUUUCAACUUUACCAGGUGGUAGUACUUACCAUUUCCUCCAUGUACUUGUAAACUUUUUUGCCUUUGCUGGGAACAUCUCUGUUUUGAGUAUAGCACAGUGAAAUCGUACUUCAGUUAAGCAUCAUCUCCUUUGUAUAGACUUUACUGAUCUCAUCUGUCUAAUUAUACCCUUACUGCAGCAGAAUCAAUUCUUCUGCCUCCUGGGCCCCUUUGUUUACACCCUUUAACAUAUAUAUUAGUGAAGUACAUAUUGGACUCCUCUAGCUCAACCAUGAGCUAGAAGUUGAAAUUUUCUUUUAUCACUUUUGUAUCUCCAUCAUCUAACAGAGUAUACUUUGUGUUCAAUAAACAUUCAGAAGAAUAAGUUGUAUCUUUGUUGGGGGUGAGGAAACCAAAUUAUGUUAACACUCUGCAGAUGUUAACUUCUGCUCCUAGAAUUAACAUAAUAAAAGAAUAGAAGAACUGUGUGCCAGUUGGUCACCACUAUCCUCUCAUGCCUUCCUCACUAAUUUUCUUGACUAUGUAUUCCUCUGUAAUUUUGUGCAGAGGAUAGGCAUCUGGGAGGAGGAAAAAGUUUUAUGAGGGGGUCUAGGCAAGGUAUGGUACAGGUAGGUGGAUAUCAAAAACAAGCUUCUUCCUGGUUCAGCCUUUUGUCCACUGCUGGCAAUUCAAAAUCAUAUCUCAGACUGCUUAUUCCUGAUAUAAUUGAAUUAUAAAUUUUUGUAGGGUAUAAAUGAUAGUGGUACUACAUUUGCUUUGUGGUAUAAGAUAGUGGUCAAUAGAGUAUGAUUGGCCGACUUGAUUACAGGGCAAGCAAAAUGGGAAUAAACAUUAAAGUAUAAGGUUGUUGUUAGGUGCCAUUGAGUCGGUUCCAACUAAGAACAACCCUACGUAGCACAGAAUGAAACACUGCCCGGUCCUGCACUAUCCUUACAAUCGUUAUGCUUGAGCCCAUUGUUGAAGCCACUGUGUCAGUUCAUCUCGUUGAGGAUUGUCUUCUUUUCUGCUGACCCUGUACUUUACCAAGCAUGAUGUCCUUCACCAGGGACUGAUCUGUCCUGACAACAUCCCAAAGUAUGUGAGACACAGUCUUGCCAUCCUUGCUUCUGAGGAGCAUUCUGGUUGUAAUUCUUCCAAGACAGAUUUGUUCGUUCUUUUGGCAGUCCACAGUAUAUUCAAUAUUCUUCACCAACACCACAAUUCAAAGGCAUCAAUUCUUUGGUCUUCCUUAUUCAUUGUCUAGCUUUCACACUCAUAUGAUGUGAUUGAAAAUACCAUGGCUUGGGUCAGGUGCACCUUAGUCUUCAAGGUGACAUCUUUGCUUUUCAACACUUUAAAGAGGUCCUGUGCAGCAGAUUUGCCCAAUGCAGUGCAUCUUUUGAUUUCUUGAUUGCUGCUUCCAUGGGUGUUGAUUGUGGAUCCGAGUAAAAUGAAAUCCUUGACAACUUCAGUCUUUUCUCCAUGUAUCAUAAUGUGGCUUAUUGGUCCAGUUGUGAGGAUUUUUGUUUUCUUUUUGUUGAGGUGCAAUCCAUACUGAAGGCUGUGGUCUUCGAUCUUCAUCAGUAAGUGCUUUAAGUCUUCUUCACUUUCAGCAGGCAAGAUGGUGUCAUCUGCAUAAUGCAGGUUGUUAAUGAGUCUUCUUCCAAUCUGUUCUUCUCGAUAUAGUCCAGCCUCUUGAAUUAUUUGCUCAACGUACAGAUUGAAUAGGUAUGGUUAAAGGAUAACAACCCUGAUGCACACCUUUCCUGAUUUUAAAGUGUAAAGUAAAUCCCUUUAAUAGAAGCUUUUAACACAAUAUUAUUUUUACUUGUUAGUUUCCAUGGAGUCAGUUCCAACUCAUGGCAACCCCAUAUGUGUAGAGUAGAACUAACUGCUCCAUAGGGUUUUCAAGGAAGCAGAUUGCCAGGCUUGUCUUCAGAGGCAUCUAUGGAUGAGUUCAAAUUACCAACAUUUCAGCAGUAACUCCUUAUCUUUACCUAGCAUUUAAUAACAGCACCUUCCAUUGAUGGUUUUUUUUUUUCCUCAGUAGGAGACCUAUUUGUGGAAACAGCAUUUGGAUCCAGACAAGCUCCUUGAUUUAUUAGUCACCAUCGGAUAAUUUCAUUUCAUUCAUCUGGGCUUUAGUUUCUCCAUUAUGAAGAUUUUUAUUUUUUAGGUUUUUUUUUUUUUUGGUUCUAACAUUCUGUAAUUCUUCAAUAUUUAUGUCACAAAGCACAAGCAUACCAAUUAAAAAAAAUUUUUUUUAUGGGUUAUUUUUGCAGAUUCCUUCUUGCAGCAUAUUUUACGCUAUAGAUUUGUAGUCUUAAGUAUAGAAAUAUAUUCUGCUUUGACCUCACCUGUAAAUUCACGCAUUCCUUUUGUUUUCCAAGUUCUCUGGACAUGACUGUUUCUACCUUAGUGAGUUCUUAUCCUUUUCUUCAUUUCACUUCUGCAGGUUUGCUUUUACAGUCCAUCAUUUCAAUAGGCCUAAACUCCUUUGGUCUACUGUCCUUUCCUUGUUCCAGUUUGCCAAAAUUCCAUGCUUAAGUCCAGGCAACAUAUAAUGUCACAUUACAGGGGAGAUUUAUGAUCUCUAACCUCACUUGGGCUCUCAACAUUGUCUGGCAAUCCUGCUGAUUUUCUAGUCAACUCACUAGUUUUUGAAACCUCCACUCCCCUCGAAAUUCCAUUUUUCUACUUCUUUUAAGCUAUCAACAUACAUACCUCUUAAGCUCCUAUCGUUUUAGUAGAGUAUCCUUUCCAUGAUCAAAGCCUAGUUCUUUCAUUCGGACUUUGGACUCCAUUCCAUUUACCCAUACUGGGAAGCUUACAGAAUCCUUUCUUUUUUCACCCUCUCCCUUCCAAUAGGAACAUUUUUAUGCACUUUUCAACAUGUUCAUAUCUCUUCUGGUAUAUAUAAAACUAAAAAGACCUACUUUACAUCAUCCUUUACCUCUUGCUAUAUUUUCUCAUUUAUUUUUCAGUGAGUUUUCUGGUGAUCUUCAUCUCAACUUCUUUUCAUUCUACUGGUUCAUAUGCUAGUUGCAUAUUUAGAUUUUUUUUGAACAUUUUAUUGUUUUAGGUGAAAGUUAACACAGCAAACUAGAUUCCCAUUCAUACAAAUUGUUCUGUGACAUUGGUUGCUAUCCCCGUAAAUGUGUCAGCACUCUCCCCAUAUCCACCCUGCCUUCUCCUUUCCAUCCAUCUAGUUUCUCUGCCCCUCCUUGCCUCUCAUCUUUGCUUUUGGGCAAAUGUUGCCCAUUUGGUCUCGUAUAGUUGAUUGUUCUAAGGAGUACAUUCCUCAUGGGUGUUAUAGGCCAAUCUAUUUGGCUGCAUGGUGACCUCUGGGAGUGGCUUUAGUUCCAUAUUAAAAGGGUGUCUUAGGGUGAUAUUCUUGGGGGUUCUUCCAAUCUCUGGCAGUCCAGUAAGUGUGGUCUUUUCCAUGAAUUUGAGUUUUGUUCUACAUUUUCAUUCCAUUUUAACCAGGACCUUCUAUUGUGUCCCUGGUCAGAGUGGUCGGUAGUGGUAGCUGGGCCUUAUCUUGUUCUGGUCUCAGGCUAGAGGAGGCUGUGGUUCAUGUGGGCCAUUAGUCCUGUGGAUUAUUUCCUUGAGUCUUUGGUUUCCUUCACUCUCCUUUGCUCCAGAUGGAAGGAGACUAAUAGUUGUAUCUUUGAUGGCCGCUCAUAAGCUUUUUUUUUUUUAUAAUUUUUAUUGUGCUUUAAGUGAAAGUUUACAAAUUAAGUCAGUCUCUCACAUAAAAACUUAUAUACACCUUGCUGCAUGCUCCCACUCUCCUGCUAAUGAUACAGCUUGCUCCCUCCCUCCACUCUCUCUUUUCAUAUCCAUUUCGCUAGCUUCUAACCCUCUUUACCCUCUCAUCUCCCCUCCAGGCAGGAGAUACCAACAUAGUCUCAAGUGUCCACCUGAUCCAAGAAGCUUACUCCUCACCAGCAUCCCUCUCCAACCCAUUGUCCAGUCCAAUCCAUGUCUUAAGAGUUAGCUUCGGGAAUGGUUCCUGUCCUAGGCCAACAGAAGGUCUUGGGGCCAUGACCACCAGGGUCUUUCUAGUCUCAGUUAGACCAUUAAGCACUCAUAAGCUUUUAAGAUACCAAACACUACUCACCGCACCAGGAUGUCAAACAUUAUCUAUAUGAAUUAAUCUAUGCCAAUUGACCUAGAUGUCCCCCAAGACUGGUCCUGAGCCUUCAAACCCAGUAACUCAAUCCCACGAGAUGUUUGGAUAUGUCUAGGAAGUUUCCAUAAUUAUGCCUAUGUACUCUGUUAUAUAUAUGAAUAUAUAUGCAGCACAUACAAAUAUGUAUAUACAAAUGCCCACAAUUAUACCUAUAGAUGUACACACAUGUACUCCUAUAUGCCCUCUCACACCUAUACAGCCUAUGUAUCUGCCUACAUAACAAACCAACCAAAACCCAAUGCCGUCGAGUUGAUUCCAACUCAUAGCAACCCUACAGGACAGAAUAGAGCUGCCCCAGAGAGUUUCCAAAGAGCGCCUGGCAAAUGCAAACUCCCGACCUUUUGGCUAGCAGCCGUAGCACUUAACCACUAUGCCACCAGGGUUUCCUCUACCCACAUAACCACUCACAAAUUUUUGGUUAUUGCUGUUGUUGCAGAACUGUGUAUGUUAUAGCAUUUACUGUAGUUGCCCUUUAUUCCUGUGUACCUCUUCGUGUAUUCUUUUACCUUGGUCACAUUAUGCUGACUUGCCCCAUAUUGUGUACUGCCUUUCCCUUCACUAGAAUUAACAUGCGUCUACUAUCUAGUGAUUCUCCCUCCCUCUCCCUGGUAACCAUCAAAGAAUGUUGCUUUCUGUGUGUAAACCUAUUGACUUUUUUAUACGUGAUACCAUAUCUUUGUCCUUUUUGAUUGACUUAUUUCACUCAGCAUAAUGUCCUCCAGAUCAUAGUAUGUUUCACGGACUCAUUAUUCUUCUUUUGUGUAGUAUUCCACUGUAUGUAUAUACCAUAUUUUGUUUAUCCAUUCAUCAGUUGAUGGGCAUUUAGGUUGGUUUCCAUCUUUUUUGCUAUUGUGAAUAAUGCUGCAAUGAACAUGGGUGUGCAUCUGUCUAUUUUUGUCACUGCUUAUUUCUCUAGGAAAUACCAUCUGCAGGAUCAUAUGGUAUUUCUAUUUCUAGCUUUUUGAGGAAUCUCAUCCCAUUUUCCAUAGUUGUUAUACCAUUUUACAAUCCCACCAGCAGUGUGUUAAGAGUUCCUGUCUCCUGAGGACCUCGCCGGCAUUUGUUGUUUCCUGUCUUUUUGAUCAGUGCCAUUUUUUGCAGGGGUGAGAUGGUAUCUCAUUAUAGUUUUGAUUCAUAUUCCUCUAAUGGCUAAUGAUCACAAGCAUCUUUUUAUAUGUUUGUUAGCCACCUGAGUGUCUCGUUUGGUGAAGUGUCUGUUCAUGUCCUUUGCCCACUUUUUGAUUGGAUUGUCUUUUUGUUGAUGAGUUUUUGAAGUUUUCCAUGUAUUUUAGAGAUUAUACCCUUGUCAGAUAUGUUGUUGCCAAAUGUUUUUCCAAGCCUGUGAGUUAUCAUUAUACUCUUUUGCUAAAGUCUUUUGAUGAGCUUAACUAUUUAAUUUUUAGACAAUCUCAGUUAUGUAGUUUAUCUUCUGUUUGUGCAUUUUUAGUUAUGCUUGAUAGUGUAUUUAUGCCAUAAAUUAGGACCCCUAGCUUUGUCCCUAUGUUAUCUUCUAGGAACUUUAUAGUUUUAGGCUUAACAUUUAGAACUUUGAUCCAUUUGGGGUUGGUUUUUGUGUAUGGUGUGAGGUAUGGAUCCUAUUUCAUUUUUCUGCAAAUGGAUAUCCAGUUUUGCCAGCACCAUUUGUUAAAGAGACAAUCUCUUUCCCAUUGAGUGAACGCUGACCCUUUCUUGAAGAUCAUCUGUCUGCAGAUGGAUGGAUUCACUUCUGGGUUCUCAAUUAUUUUCCAUUGGUCUGUGUGUCUGUCAUUGUACCAGUACCAGACUGUUUUGAUUACCAUAGCUGUAUAGUAAGUUCUGUGUUCUUCUUCAAUAAUGCUUUACCUAUUAGGGGCCUCUUUCCCUUCCAUAUAAAGUUGGAGAUAAGCUUUUCCAUUUCAUUAAAGAAUGUUGUUGGGAUUUGGUUCAGAAUUACAUUAUAUCUGUAGAUCUACUUUGGAUAGUACUGACAUUUUCACAGUGUUAAGUCUUCAAUCCAUAAGCAUGGUAUGUUUUUCCAUUUAUGUAGGUCUCUUUUGGUUUCUUGCAGUAGUGUUUUGUGGUUUUCCUUGUAUAAAAGUCUCUUACACCCCUGGUCAGAUUUAUUCCUAGGUAUUUUAUCCUUUUGGGGGCUAUUGUAAAUGCUAUUAUUUUCUUGAAUUCCUUUUUGGAAUUCUCCUUAUUUGUGUAGAGGAAUCCAACUGAUUUUUGUAUGUUGAUCUUGUACUACCAUGACACUUUGCUGAAACUUUCUAUUAGUUCCAGUAAUUUUUUCAUGGAAUCUCUGGGAUUUUCUGUGUAUAGGAUCAUGUCAUCUGUGAAUAGAGAUAGUUUUACUUCUUCUUUACCAAUUUGGAUGCCCUUUAUUUCCCUUUCCUGUCUUAUUGCUCUAGCUAGGAUUUCCAGUAUUGAGUAAGAGAGGUGAUAAUGGACAUCCUUGUCUCAUUCCCAUUCAGAAGGGGAAUGGUUUUCAGUCUCUCUCCACUGAGAAUAAUGUUGGCUGUUGGUUUUUAUAUAUGCCCUUAAUUUGUGUUGAGGAAUUUCCUUUCUAUUUUGCUGAGAAUUUUUUUUUAAAUCAGGAAAGUGUGUUGGAUUUUAUCAAAUGCCUUUUCUACAUCAUUUGAGAUAAUCAUGUGAUUCUGUUCAUCAACCAAGAUCAAUUCCUCUUUACUUAGCUGUUCUACUGUGAAAAAGCAAAGUGGAAACCAGGUGACCAAAUUUAUAAGGCUAAUAAUCAUUAAUUAAAGCUAAGCUUUAGCCCAAAAUGGCUCUCUACUUCUUGUAGCUUUGUGCAUUUUUUUUUUUUUUUUGGUGUUUAAAAACUCUCCAUUGGUGGAUUUGUGUUCAUAUUUUAUAUGCUGCUGAUGCAGCUGUAUCUGAACUCUAUGUUCAUGAAAUAUUACUGGACAAGUUGCAGACCCCCUGCACAUCUAUUUUCUACUUACCAUAUUUUCAAGCCUUAUAAAACAUUAUUUCAUUUGCAAGUUGCUUUUCCUUAAAAAUUUUGAUAACAAAUCUUUUGCCCAAAUUAGAUUAAGUUACUUGCCUAUGCUGACCUAGGAAAUAAUGGCUUACUAAGAGCUUUGGAUGUUUAAGCUUCUUUCUUGGAACAGUGUUAAUUCUUUUCAAAAAUACCACUAGUAAACAUCUCUGUUAUUAUAAAGGAAGCAUCCAAUAACUAAAAGAAAACCUAGGAAGGUAUUAUUCUAUUUGUUUUGCCUUUUGCACCUGGGAGCCUAAUUUCUAUCUUUGUCUUUGAUUACUUAAUGUUUUAAAUGUGUUCCAAUCAUGGACGCACAGGUUAAUGGUAACUUAUUGUGCUGCUUUCAAGUGUUUAGUGUGGCAGCAUGCUAAGUGAAACAGGGAAAGAGUUCUAUUUUCUGGAAAUCUUUCACAUGCUAUUAAAAUUGAUUGAUCUUCAUGUGUAAAGGUUGGUUAUUGUGUUGCCCUUUACCUAUAGUUCUAUCCAUUUCUCUCUCCAUUCCUUGAAGGAAAAAACUACUUUGCCUUUCCCCUUAGCACUCUCACACAGAAUUUCUGCUUUUGCUUGUUUCAUGGUCUAGUUCAGAGGUCAGCAAACUACCAGACAUAGGCCAUUACAAGCCCACUGCCUAUUUUUGUAUGGCCUAUGUGCUAAGAAUUUUUAUAGUUUCAAUGGUUGAAACAAAAAUCGAGAGUAAUAUUUUGUAACAUGUGAAAAUUAUAUGAAAUUCACUGUCCAUAAAGUUUCAUCAAAACAUAAUCAUGAUCAUUUGUUUACAUAUUGUCUAUGGCUGCUUUCUUGCUACAAUGGCUAAGUUGAGUGGUUGCAACAGAGAUGACAUGGCCUGCAAUGUAUGAACUAUGUAAACCCUUUACAGAAAAAUUCUGCUGACUCCUGGCCUAGCUGAUUUUUUGCACAUGGUGCAGUCCCUUUUUUUCCUUUUCCUGAAGAAAAAGGAGAUUAUACUUAGAUAAUACUUGCAUGAAUACAGCUUUUCCUGAACUACGAAACAGUCACAAUUUAGAUCCUCCUGGCUGGUUUCUCAGAGAUGAAAACUUUCUCUUACUUUGAAUCUAUCUAAUGAUAGAUUACAGACACCAAGUAGUUUGGAUCUCUCAGUCAAAUUAGGAAUAGUUGAUCAAGCCUGGAGCAUUCAGUUCCCCAUAUUAACUAUCCUUCUCAAUCAUAUUUUUAUAUACCCAAUAUACUUAUACCAAUUAAAAGACAGACAAAUAUUUGCAGUUGAUCAAUUUUUAUUUAUUUAGCCUAGCUUUAUAGCUUCAAAUGCCUAACAAUUAAACUGUAUUGAUUUGUGGUAUUUUGGUAGAAACUUUGCCAUGUUAGUUAUCUUCACAAGGGAGAACUAGACCAAAAUGCUAUAUUCAAGUAACUCCUCAAAGUAUUAGCAUUGAGCAAUCACUUUCUUGUUAGAUAUUUUAAAAACAGAACAAACUACUAUUUUACAUUCUUCCCAGAGUUAAAAGUGAGAGCUGUAUAGGGCAGGACCAAUCAUCCUGCUUUAGGCUUAUAAGCCAUAUGAACCACUUUAGAAUUCUUGUAAGUACUGCCACCUCUGCUUCUUUGGAGUUUAUAAGUACCCUAGUAGGAUGAUUAUUUAAUUUUUCAAUCAAGGACACUUCUAAAAGUGAAAAACCAAACCUGUUGCCAUUAAUUCUGACUCAUAGCAAACCUACAGAAUGGUGCAGAACUACCCCAUAGGGUUUCUAAGGCUGUAAUCUUUAUGGAAGCAGAUUGUCACAUUUUUCACCCGUGGAGCAGCUUGUGUAUUAAACUGCUGACCUUUCAGUUAGCAGCUGAAGGCUUAACCACUGCACCACCAGGGCUCCUUUCUAAGAGUGAAAGGGGGCACUAACUCCCUGGGAUGCCGGGACAACAGGCAUAAAGUAGGCCUGUCCUGACCAAACCUGGAUGUAUGGUUCCCAUAACUUUAGGAAGAAUGUGCUUCUCUGUUUCAAUAUGCCACUUCCAACUCAUCUGUCCCAAACAGAAGGCAGAGGUAAUAAUGAACUUAGGCUGAUAAAAAGCUGUCAAACUCUCCGAUUCUUUCUGAACCAUAAACAUGAUAUGACAUCUGUAACUAUUUCAGUAACUACUGGUAGUGUUUUUUCCCUUCAUAAAUUAGAAGCACAUAUGGCCAUUUACUUUGGUCAUAAUGGGACCAUGAUACAUUAAGCUCACGUAUGUAGAUUAAAGGUUUUAUUUACUUACUUUAAAUACCACCUACAACAGAUUAUUCAGGAGUCAGGUAGAAAGAUGAGAUCCAAAACAAACUUUAUUUACAUAUGGGUAAUAAGAACAUUAAUGACUUGAAUACUGAAUAAUUAAAUUUUGGGUUAAUUAGAAGUCCAUGAUUUAUUCACCAAGUCUAUUUUAGGGAAGCAGUAUAAAACUACAUUUAGUAUUUUUUCUCAGUUCUCUAGCACUCUUGAAGCUUGCAAAGAUUCAGAACACUUUAAUGAUAGCUUGUUGAACGGCAAUAAAAAUGAGAUGAUGUAUUUAGAAUUCAGUCUCUCACAAAAAAGACGUUAUAUCCAAGUUCUGUCAAAGCCCCAGCCAGUAAGGCCCAUAAAGGAAUGAAGACAUAGGACAGAUUCAUGGUAGUAAAUUGUUCCAGUUUAGCACAGAGUGCAAGGCAGAAGGCUAAUUUAAGUAACAUUGCAAUGAGGUACCAGGCUUUUUUUUUAAUAUUGUGUGAUCCAUGUCGAGGGUCAAAGCCAGACUUACACCGUCCAGCCAUUUUCACAAUCAGCAUGACAAGAAGGAUAGUAUCAAAUAUCCAGACUGGAAUAAAUAUGAGGAACCAGUUCCAAGGUGCCUUCUCGUCCAGUUUCAACACCAACAUGAUCAAGAAGAGUAAUGUGAAAAGCCAGGUGAGUAGUACUCUCUGAGCCAAGGACAUUCUCAUUUAAACAGUUUAAAAAGGCUGUUGCAGAGUCCAAAAAAAGGAUAUAUACCCUAAGAAAGGGGAAAAAAAGUCAAAAUAGUUUUGAUACCAGAAAAAAGAAAAAAAAAAAUCAUUACUGAACAAAGCUGGCUCUUUCCCACUCUCAGAUUUCCUAAUUUUGAAAACACUCUACCAUUCUUCCUUUCAUAAGCUCUAAAACUUAUAGCCUUCUCUCUUUGACAACAUUCUAUCCAUAAUUCUCUUACAACCCCUGACAAAAUACAACAAAAUUUUUAAUAUACCUACUGGGUAUAAGCUCUAUUCAAGAACAAUCUGUUCCUUUCCACUGCUAUCCUUCAAGUCCAAGCACACAUUGACUUUAUUUCUGCACCUCAGGAUGCUCUUAAUUUACCUCCCUGCACAUUUGCACAUAUGAUAUUCCACUCAAUUUCAGGGAGUACUAAGAAAAACCAUUCAAAAUGGAAGUAGUGAAAGAAGAGGAGGUGGUAUCAAGCCAGGAGAGGAGAGUUUUAACUGUAACUGUACUAAUAUAAAUGGCAUUGAUAACAUUGGAUUUUCACAUACUAUGGGUCUUGCUUUCUUAAUUAAAUUCUCAUUAUCCCACUAAAGUUCUCAUAAAUAUCUAUUUUCUUCAUCUAAGGUUUCUUUCUUUUAACAGGUAUCCUCUCAUUUUAUUAUUUUGGUUUGUGGUAUGUAUCAUAUUACCAAUAAUCAAGACCACUUUUGAUGUUGUUUUGUGAUUAUUUGAUAGUGAAUUAUUCUAUAAAAAAAACCAAACCAAACUUGUUCCCCUUGAUUCCAACUCAUAGCGACCCUAUAAGACAGAGGAGAACUGCCCCAUAGAGUUUACAAGGAGUGCCUGGUGGAUCUGAACUGCUGACCUUUUGGUUAGCAGCCAUAGCUCUUAACCACCAUGCCAUCAGGGUUUCCAAGAACUGUUCUACAAUCAGACCUAUUUCUUAUAUGCCUAUUUCUGUUUUACUGAUUUAUAUUUCUGUUUUGUACUAGUACUAUAUGACUGCUAUUGUUGCUCUAGUAUAUACUCUAGUAUCUGGAAGGCCUAGUGCCUACACUCACUCUUUUCUUUUCCAGAACAUUUUCUACUCUUUUUGCCCUUUCAUUUUCUUAAUGCUAAAAUUGCUAAUUCUUUUUUAAACCUGAAAUUUUCAUUGGGAAUGCAUUAAAUCUAAAAUUUACUUAGGUAUAAACAUUUAUUAUAGUUAAUAUUCACAUAAUAGAUUUACAGUCUGUUUCUACACAUACUCGAGUUUUUUAUACCAACGUUGUGGCCCUUUAGAAAAAGAACAAGUAGAAAAGGAAAUGAGAAGACAGAGGGCAUAUAGUUGAGUGAGGAGUUAACAGAAGAUAAAGAAAUGGAAACUGAUGAGAACAUGUUACACUCUUGAGGCAUUUGGAGAAGAGAAGACAAAAGAUAGACACGAGGUUGGGAAAGGAACAAGAGAAGGAAUAUUCAGGAAGGGAGGAAGAGAAGUAUAAUAAAUUUAGAGAAAUAAGCCACUGGGGAGUGAUAAACUGCAAAUGAGAAGAUACUUGAUGGAAAAAGGAAAAGAACAGAAGGUGGGAGAUGGGAACAAAAGCACAGGUGGAGGGGGUUAUCCUUUGGCAUAGGAGUAAAGAUGCAGUAUAAGACAGAAAAGGUGAAGAAACUGGCAAUAACAUGAAAAGGACUAAACCGUCAUAGUCGAGUUAAUUCCAACUCAUAGAAACCCUACAGAACAGGGCAGAGCUGCCCCACAGUGUUUCCACAGCUGUAACCUUUAUGGAAGCAGACUGCCACGUCUUUCUCCACAGAGAGGCUGGUAGGUUCCAACUGCUUACCUUUUGGUUAGCAGCCAAGGGCUUUAAACAAUGCACCAGCAGGGCUCCUCUGCCAAUGACCAGGUAAACCAAAUUACAAGACUAGUGCUCAAUUGAUUAUAGUUUAGAAUUAACUUUGAUGUUCUCUGCUACAUCUCUACUACUUUACAUAGUUGGUGACUACCAUUUAAUGUUGCAAGACUAUACAUGUUUUAUUUCAAUACUUAUGUAUGAGUCCGUAGACUAAAUGAGAAUCCUAUAACUCCCUUUUCCCCUCUUAUACCCAUCUACUUGCACUGUUUAUUCACCUAGUUGGCAGAUGCUGCACACUGCAGUGCUUUUGCUCCUAGGAAGGCAUUUGCCAUGCUGCUUCUCCCUUCCUGGCCAGGGACAUGUUUCAGAGAUUUACUCGGAAGGCUGACAUAAUGAAUUUGGAGCUGAAUUGGGAAGGAGCGGUGUAGGGGUGUGUGCUGAAUAAUAACUACAAAUGGAUUUUACCUGUAAAUUAAGUUUGUUCAGUCCUGAUUGCCAAUCUAUCUGGCCUUGUUUUUGUGAACCUUUAAAAAAAAAAGGCUUAUGAUAAUACACUUGCUUAAAUAUAACCUUUCCAUCUAGCAUCAAAUGAGUCAAGCAUUUUUUCUCAUCUAGGAGAGCAGUGGCAAGUGGUCAUAGAAAGGGUGGCUGCAUUCACCACAGUUACGUAGGAUGGGUGGUGAAAAGAUGCAAAGAACAGUCUUAUUGUGACUACAAACUUUAUAAUGUAAGAUGCAACAAAGUUCUGUAUGCAUGUAAGACACCAAAAUGCUCUCAAGGGAGCACUCUGCUGACAUUUGAAUGACACUUGGGAGAGCGGAUGCUGAGCUACAAUGAAGACAUUUAAGACCCCAAUUUUAUAUUUAUAUCUUCACUAAUUUAAGCAAUCCUAUUUAUCUCCUCCUUCUACUCGUCUCAAGGGGCUGCAAACUCCAAAACAAAAAUUAGCUCAACUAAAAUAUUCCUCUUUUGAGGUGGUUAUUUCUUGUGUCUGGAAGACAGGUAAGUGUUCCUUCGCAUGUUUCAAAAUCGCCCUCAUGUGAAAAUCUAGAGGACCCUACCCACAUCACCUGCAUCUAGGUAUCAGCUUUGAGUUGACUCAUGAAUUUAUCUACUCUGCUUCCCACGCAACCCGCAUGUCCCUUCUAUCGCUAAGGCCGGUACUCUUCCAAGUGAACUCGCCUCAUCCCAGAGUUUUACUUAAUAAGCCCACAACACAAUACUCCUUUUCACUGUGAAGCCCUUUCAAAAGGCCCGUACUGCAACAGCCUUCCCCAACUUAAGCAUCCUUCACGAGAACAGCGUUUUGCUGACAACCUAUCCGAUUCGGGCCUACUGGUUCCUAGGACUUCAGGACGCUCCUGAACUGUUCUUGUCCUUCGUCUGCAAACGCAGAUCGUCCGCUCGCGAUGCCCUGUCCGGACUCCCCCCAUUCUGAGCUGUGGGCCCGGCACAUUUUUGGAGCUGAGUGCGGUUCGUGGACGAUACGAUCCACCAUGCACACAGAAGCCCUGUGGCCAAGCAGGCGUGUGUACGCGCCUGAGGCCCGGAGUAUGAAGAGGUGAGGGGUGGCGGCACAGCCCGCGGGAGCAGCGGGAGGCCAGCGCCGGGCCUCUGGGGGAGAGUGCACUUCGGGGGUUGCUGGCCCGUCGAAGCCCCGGACUCACCUAACAGAGCCGCUGACCGGAGAGCGGAGAGGGGCGCGAAGAUCAGGAAACCCGCCAGUUCGGAUCCUUGGCCUUUUCCACACUUUUUCCCCCAUUAAACCCAGAACCCGUCACAUUGUAACUUAAAAAAAAAGACUCAGUUCCGCCUCGCCAAACGACCACGGCGGACGCUCUCUCAGUUCUACCUCAGGGCCGCGCCCACAUCCGGGGCAAAUUCUCACCGCCCCCCAGGCCUACCCUAUAGGCAGAAAAGACGCCAAUCUGGGUUCAGAGGCCCCUUUUCCCGCGGUAAUUGGGCCGUUUGGUCGCCAGUGCAAACCAACCAACCUUUCCUCACAUUCGGGUUCGACGAAACGGCGGCAUUGAAAGACCUCCCGCCCCCAGGCCCGCCUCUCUACAUCCAUUGGUUAGGAGGAAAGUCAGUCUAAACGCAGUCUUGAUAUUUCGUGGUCUUAUUGGGCCCCUAGAUGCCAAUAAGACCAGCCACACUCGGCUCCACCCCCCGUGGGGCGCACAGCCUCGCCUCUCGCCCUACGCUCCAGUGGAGGGGGCGGGAGGGGUGGCACUGCAGGCUCCGGCGCAAAAUCCUGCGGGAGAGGAGGUGGGGCGACGGCUCUGGAGGCAGCGCGUCUGCCGGCAGCGUUGUGUGGCUCCUCCGGCUCCCGCGGCGGCGGCGAUCGCUACGGUGUCUUCUGCGCGCACCCUGGCCGCCUCCUAGCGGCAAGGCGCCCGCUCUUACGGUAGGAGCGGCAUCACCUCCGCGCUUGGGUGGGCCGUGUGGAGGUCGUUAGGCUCUGACAGAAUCCCUAGGAUGGACAGGACGAGGGAAGAGAACAGCCGACGGGAUUAAGCCUAAAAUGACAAAUGUGUGAUUUCGGUGGAAUAAAUGGCGUCCAAAGUCACAGAUGCUAUAGUCUGGUAUCAAAAGAAGGGUAACUUAGAAGCUAAAUUGCUCUUUGUCGAAUGGCCCAUAGAGUUUAUUCAAAUGAAAGCUGUUAAUUCAAUACCAAGGAUUGAUUCACAGAGAAGAACAUGCUGGACAAAGGUAUUUAAAAAAAGAAAAACAGUUACUGUCGAGUUGACUCUGACUGAUGGCAACCCCCUGCGUGUCAGAGUGGACUGGUACUCCACAGGGUUUUCAAGGCUGUGACCUUUCAGAAACAUCACCAGGCCUUUCUUCUGAGACACCUCUGAGUGGGUUUAAACCAACAGCCUAUUGGUUAGUAGCUGAGCACUUAACCAUUUGUACCACCAGGGAGAAAGGUAUAUAACCUAAAAUGUUUUCCACCCAAACUUUUGCCCAGAAUUAAUAUCCUUAUUACAUUUUAAUUGGCCGUUUAAAAAUGAAAUCUUGCUCUAGUUUGCUUUCUGUUUUGGGUGUCUUGUGCCCACUGCCUGUGAUGGGGUUAGAAUUACAUAAAGAGUUCUGGUUUACCUGGUUUAUGCAAAAGGAGACUGCUGCAUAGCUCUAAACAGGUAAAAGUAUAGAAAGAGCAAGUUAGUAAGGUGGCCUUAUUUAAUUUUUCUAGAGCUUUGGGGAAUCAAAUAAGUUCUUUAGUUCUGCAGUCUCAAAAUGAUAGGCCAAAACUCAAAACCAAACCUAUUGCCUUGGAGUCCAUUCCAACUCGUAGCUACCCUAUAGGACAGAGUAGAACUGCCCCAUAGGGUUUCCAAGGAUGGGCUGGUGGAUUCAAACAGCUGAACUUUUGGUCAUCAGCUGAGUUCUUAACCACUAUGCCAUCAGGGCUUCAAAAUGAUAGUCAGCAGUAUAUAUUUUAAAUUAUUGCUUGUUUGUUCAGUGUGACACUUUGGCAUGUAGCUUGUUUUUAUUGACUGGUAGAAAACUAGAGGCAAAUGAUAACUAGGUGUAGCUUCAUUACAUUGACUUCAUAUAGGAAAAAUUCAAUACAUUUAGUUUUACCAAUGCUGGUUGACAUUUAAGAUUAAAGGCUUUUUAUUAGCAAGACUUUCUCCCUCAUUACAUUGACUUCAUAUAGGGAAAACUCAAUACGUUUAGUUGUACAGUACUGGUUGACUUGUAAGAUUAAAGAUUUUUAUUACCAAGACUUUCUCCCUCUCUAAAAAAAAUAAUGAGCUGGUAGAAUUUGCAACCAUAUACAUUUAAGUACAUUUAUGGUGGGCCUACUAUGUAUAAGGUACUGAGUACUUAUCUUCAGGCAACUCUGCAUCACGGAGGAGCCAAAAUGUAAACAAAUAACCAUAGUACUUAUGGUAAGUGUUGUAGUAGAAUCAUCUUUAAAGCGCUAUGGGAACUCACAUGAAGUUCCCUCCAAAUUUGUUCCUCCAGUCAUCAUUCUCUUAUUGCUAUUAUCUUCUAAAUAUUUUUCACAUCCUCCCUGAUCUCCUUUCAUUGCUCCUUCAUUCUGGUUCCAGUGAAAAUCUUUUCUUCUCGUAACCACCACAGUGACUUAUCGUAAACAAAAUUUGACCUUGUUACUUACCUGUUAAGGAGAUCCGGUGGCACAGUGGUUAAGCGCGCAGCGGUUAAGCACACAGCUCUUAACCGAAAGGUCAGCAGUUUGAACCCACUAGUCUUCUGUAGAGAUUAUAGCCUUGGAAACCCUAUGGGGCAGUUCUACUCUGUCCUUUAGUGUCGCCGUGAGUCGGAAUUGACUCAGCGACACUUAACUAUUAUUACAAGUAAAUAUUUGAUCUCUUCCUCUGCAUAGUUUUUCUUGAUCCUGCCAAGUGAAGAUUAAAUAUACAACUUCUCUCACCCUACCUUUGGUCAUCUUUAAUAGCAGUUCUGGAUCCCCUUGGACCCUUGCAAUUACAGCAAACCUUUUCUUGAUGACAGUAGUUCAGACUCCUUAGAUUCUGAUUCUGGGAAAUCUCUACUAAGCACCGAGGAGCAAUUUAUCUCAACUUCUUCCCAUUUUAAUAUUACCCUGUGUAGGUAAGGGAGCCCUGCUGGUGUAGUGGUUAAGAGCUCAGCUGCUAACCAGGAGGUCAGCAGUUCAAACCCACCAGCUGCUCCUUGGAAACCCUAUGGUGCAGUUCUACUCUGUCCUAUAGGGUUGCUCUGAGUCAGAAGUGACUCAACAGCACCUAACAACAACACCAAUAUGUGGGUACGUGGAAGGAAGCCAAACAAGUUAAUGUAUUUGAUUUUGAAUAAUUCAGAUCUGCUUCAUGGUCUCGUUUUUUAUCUCAGAUGAUUGCAUGAGCAUCAAUAAUAUUCUAUGUAUUUUUAAAAAUGCAGUGGUAUUUAAAUAGCCCAGAUAAGUUCAAUUUAAAUUGCUUUAAAAAUAUGAUAAGCUUUUUGUGCUAUUUAUAUUAAACUGUUAGAAAUAUGUAAACAAGGAAGGUACGGUAGUCUUGACUCACGUACACAUGGCUUAGUCAGAGUUAUGUUUUGGAAUAAUAAACCAGAGUGUAUCCUAUGAUGAAUACUAAAAAAAUUUAAGUAAUGCAUAUAUAUUCAUUCCUUGCCUCAUUUAGCAGUAUGAAGGAAAAGGAAGCAUUAGGAACUCACGGAGAUGACACAAUAGCUAAUGCUUAUUGAGCUCUUAUGUGCCUGUAGUGUGGUUAGCUCAAUAGGUAUUAGCACAUUUAAUCCUUAUACUAACCCUGUGGUUAUUGAUGUUAACUAUUUUACAUACUUUUAGGGAUGAGUGAGUUUGACUCACUAAGAAUUUUGUAUAUUUUCAUUUGCUUUCUUAACAGACCCUGACAGCUUCCUGGCUGACAAGGCAGCCCAUGGAGUGUCAACAGAGGCAGAAGUAGUGAUGAUUAGGGGUUAAAUGCCACCCUUCACAGUUACCCUUAGUGAUGAGAGCCAAGGCAGAGGAGCAUAGGGUAGCUUAUAUAUAAGGAUGUGAAUAGUAUUAGUGAGUAAAGGUUCCAGCUGUGGAGCCUGUCUGGAUUUAAAUUCCUGUAUUCUGCCACUUACUGUUUAAAUUUGUACAACCUCAGUUUUCACAACUCUAACACAGGGAUAGCAGUAAUAUCAACUUUGUGGUAUUGUGAGGAUUAUGUGAUUUAAUACAUAAAAAGUGUUUGGCACAUGAUAAAUAAUAGAUGCUAUUUAUUAUUAUUAUUAUUGUUGUUAUUAUUAAACUACCUCAACUUGCAAAGGAGUAGAACCCAGAGACCCUAGUAUUUUUCAAUUCUAGGGUUUGGACUUUUCCUCCAAUGUUGGGGGGCCCACUCAGUCCAUGCAGUAGUGGUCUUGAACUUAUUUUAGAGUGUUGCCCUGAUAGCUCUCCUGUUGUCAUCUUGGGUAACUUAAAAUUUUUUUUUAAAUAAAUAUUACCCCGUAGCAACACUUUUUUACUUUCAAGUUACCCAUAAUUUUUAUACAUAUUAUUUCUCAAACAAAACUCCUGAUCCAAACAUUGUUAUCACAUGAUUCACUGAGCGGAAGAAUUGGGGUGACAUCUCUAAAAAGUGAUAAUUUUCUUAAGAAAUCUCUUUGCACUGUAAUAAACAAGAAAAGCCAGAAAGGUCAAAGAAAUUUGAUUGACAUCAUAGAGUUAAUAUGUGGAAUUUACUGUGAUUUAAAUCCAGGAAUUUAGUUCUGUGCCCUCAUCACACUUAAGUAAUAAAUAGCUUUGAAAAUACUUUCUACUCUAUAAUGGUUGAAAUCAUGUUUAUCAAAAAAUCCAAAUAAUUGUUAAAAUUUAUGAUGUUUAAUUUUCAUAGCUGUAACAUUUGGGAAGUAAUGUUAUGGGUUUGUUAAAUGGAACUUUAGUAUUUACCCUAAGUAUCUUUGAGUUUCUGUUUGAUUGCUAAAGUAAGGUACAUUUAUUUUCAUAUGACUGUUAAAAGUAACAAUUCAUGACCCAAGAUUAGGUUAAAUAGAGAACAGAAGUUAAAUUAUCUUUGCCAAGAGGUUUUUUUGGGAAAGGUUAUUAAUCAAGCAAUACCUUUAUUAAUAAAUCCAUUGAGAACAUACUGUCAUGUACCAGCAAAUUGGAAAAUAAACAGCCUUCAUAAAUUAUGCAGGGUGGUAUUGGUUUGCUAACAGCGAUGUUCUCAUUACAGUUGGGCCAGGAAAAAAGGCCACUGUGUUCUGCUUCUACUUUUCAGUACACGUGUAAACUGUGCAGACAACAGACAGCCAAGACUUGAGAAGGAAAGGCAAACCAGGUCUGUGUUGGGCCCCUAAGCAGCAGAAGUUCUAGAAACUUUUCUCUAGAGCUCUGUUGUUAAUUUUAUUUGGCUAUAUUAGCCAUCCAUCUGUCUGUUUCUUCUGUUCAUCUUCAUUUGGAAUGGAGAAAGGGUGCAGUUGCCUCAGUUUGAGUCACAUGUCUAGUUUUUUAUCAUUCAGCUAUGGCCAGGGAGAGGUCAGGGUUCGAUUGUAUGACAUGACCCCAGAAGCCCCUCCUCAGAGUAUAGCAGGAUUUCAGUCCUUAAUGCUUGGUGAUUUAUUUACUGAUUUCACUUAAGCCUCCCUGAGAGAUGGGCAUCGAAUCAACUACAUGCUUGCUUUUUAAUUCUUAAAUGGAAGAUUUACUUAUUAAAGAUAGGGUUUGGCACUUGCGGGGGUUUGAGGGAUCUCUGAAAUCAUACUAUAUCUAAAAAUGCUUACUAGCUGUGAAGUUUAACAUUUUUGAGGACUGAAGGAGAGCAGAGGGAAGAAGUCAGUAGAGACAGUCAGGGGCUUCUUAAUCCUCUAAUAUAGCCAACCCUUGCUGGUUGCUACAGAGGCCAAAAGAGCUGAUGAUGGCCUUCUCUCGUGGGUUUCUUCCAGAACUUGGAGUUCUCCCAGUUCUACCAGGAGCUCUUUGCCAGGCUCCCUCCCUUCCUGUGUGAACCAGUUGAAUUCCUUCCUUCGCCACCUAACAUAAUAUAACAUCUUCCUUCUGCCAUAAGAGUCCUGUAUGGAACAUUGUUGUUUUCUUGGAUUAUUGGAGUAUUUUAGCAUUUUAGUUCUUAUAAUCCAUUUUUUUAUGCUAUACUAGGAUUGGAGCCCUGGUGGCACUGUGGAUAAUAGUUCAGCUGCUAACCAAAAGGUCAGCAGUUCAAAUCCACCAGUUUCUCCUUGGAAACCUUGUGGGGCAGUUCUACUCUGUCCUGUAGGGUUGCUAUGAGUUGGAAUCGACUCAAAGGCAAUGGGUUUGGUUUUUGAUUUUUGGUAUACUAGGACUGAUUGAAUGAUUGAUGAAUCAAUCUAUUUAUCUGCCCUUUUGUAGUAACAAAGUUUCUGACAGUUUUGUUAUUAAAAUAUGACUUCCUAGCUGAAAGUUUCUGUUGUGUAUCUCAUAGGAAAAACCUCAUUUGUUUUCAUAAUGAGACUUCAUUAAAUUGAUUUUGAGCAGUGGUGAUUGUGACUAUACAGUUCUGUUGCAUAAAUGUGCCAUAAUUUAUUUGUUAAACUAUUCCCCUCUUUACAAAUAACAUUUAGUCUUUGAACUGAUAUUUCUUUCAUAGCUUUAUAGAUAGAGAUUUCUGAAUAAAUAAGAGUAACAUUUUCAGGCUUUUGUAACAUCAGUCCCUGUUUACGGUAACCAGUCUCCCUUCUCAGCUACAAUCCCAUCCCCUAUGCAUAUACCCUCCUUGUCCCUUUCAAGAUCUAGCUCCCAGGGAUUCUAGGCCACUUUUUCCCACUACAUGAAAACUGUCUUCCCCUUUCUUGGGCUCCAACACCCCAUGCCUGGCUGUUCUCCACGUGAAUAUCCUCUUCACCUUACUUGGGCUUUGACAUCCUAUGCUGGGUCACAUCCACAUGUGGUCACCACCCUACUCUGUUCAGGCUCUGAUUUCUUAUGCCAUGCUGCCUGUACCCCACAAGGUCCCCCUCCACACCCCACUUGGGCUGAUAUUCUACACCUGGUUACGCUCUUGUGUGGACAUCAUCUUGGCUUACCCCACUGUGGUUCAGGCACCCUGCUCAGGGCCCUCAUGUCUGUGUCUCAUUCUUUAGGACUGAAUUGUUCAAGAGAGGGAAGUGGGGGAAAGAGGAAAGGAAGCUGUAUUUUUUUUUUUAAUUGUACUUUACAUGGAGGGUUACAGAACAAACUAGCUUCUCAUUAAACAAUACACAUAUUAUUUUGUGACGUUGGUUACCACCCCACAACAUGUCAAUACUCUCCCUUCUCAACCUUGGGUUUUCUGUUACCAGCUUUCCUGUCUCCUCUUGACUUCUAGUCCUUGGGUUGGUGUGCCCCUUUAGUCUUGUUUUGUUCUAUGGACCCAUCUAAUCUCUGGCUGAAGGGCAAACCCCAGGAGUCACUUCACUACUGAGCUAAAAGGGUGUCCGGGGGCCAUAUUCUCAGGGUUUCUCCAGUUCUGUCAGUAAGUCUGGUCUUUUUUUGUGAGUUCUGUAUUUUUCUCCAGCUCUGUCCGGAGCCCUCCACUGUAAUCCCCAUCAAAGCAGUCAGUGAUGGCAGCCAGGCACCAUCCAGCCAUGCCGGACUUAGUCUGGUGGAGGCUGCAGUGGUUGUGGUCCACAGUCCCCUGGACCAGUCUCUCCCCCGUGUCCCUGGUUUUCUUCAUUUUCCCUUGCUCCCAAUGGGGUGAGACCAGUGAAGUAUCUUAGAUGACCCCUUAUAAGCUUUGAAGACCUCACAUGGAAGCUAUACGGUUUUUAAGAUAAACCUGGUGAUCUUGCAAAGUGCAUAGCAUCAUGCCUGGCUUAUUGUUGGUUUUUAGUGAAUUGGUGGGGGAGGGCAGGGAUUUGAAUACUCAGUUCUUCCACUCCCGAUCCUGGAAUCUUGAGCCUUGGUGGUAAAACAAAAAACACACACUGUUUCUAAUACCAGCUGAGCUGAGUCUGCUCUUCCUGAUAUCCCUAAUCACUUUAGUUGAUACUUUAUUCUGUCUGAGUGGUUUUCUUACCUUCUUUAUUGUCCUUUAUUUCCCCAAAUUCCUCAGCUUCCAAAUCUCAGCUGUUGACUUUGCUACGAACAUGUUUAACUGCCUAAUCACCUCAAUUUUUCCCCAGAUUUUAUCUCUCCUUACUUUACCUUCUGUCUUGAAACUUUUCUCUCAUUUAGCUUUUAUUAUACUUUAUUGUUUCAGUUCUCUUCCUACCUACCUGACCAAUUAUUCUAAGUUUCCUUACCUGACUGCUUCCGUUCCUCACCACUUGAAUAUUUAUCCUUCUUAGUAUUUUAUUCGUGGUCUUCUUAAGUUAUUCUGUUUCCUUAGAUGAUCACAUUGACUUCCAAAUACCUUGUUAAUCUGCUGAGUUCCAAAUUUCGUACCUUCCCAAUACUUGUCAAUGCUAGCCAUAAUUCCUGCUUUUAUUGCAUAUCAUGGUUAAUGGUACCGGUGCUACCCCAGGUACUUAAGCCAGAAAUUGGCAUCCUUGUCUCUUUUCAGUACCUCCAUAUCCAGUUAGUUUCCUAUUGUACAUUCUCCCUCCUUUUCAGACCAUCUCUUACUGAUGUACAGAACAAUAAUGCUUAUUUCAUUCUGCCGUGAAUUAUGACUAGCUUUUUUAAUGUUUUUCUUAGCAUUUGCAACUUCUUAGAGGCAGAUCCCUGCUAUACUCAUCUUUUUGUUGAAUUAAAGAAUUCUCUUCAAGAAUUUUUCUUGGAGGCAGAGCCAACAAUGCAGUAUAGACAGAAGCACCAUGCUGAACCUCUACAGCAAAGACCCGAAAAGCUAAGCAAAAUAGAUACAAACGUCAGUCCUGAAACCCUAAGCAUCAAAUGAAGGCGUAAAACACUCAACCAAGCACCAAAUGAGAUAAGAAAUGGACAAAGAACAGAAAACGAGGAGAGCUACAGAGUGGAGGUACCCUGCCAGCUAAUGCAGCAUGAACUUGCCAUCUUGGACCUCAGCCACCAAGAAAGGCAAACAGGAAGUAUGGGAAGGCAAUUUCAUAGAGCUCCUAACAGAAGACAGAGCACCCGUUGCACAUAUCACAUCAUCUCCCUUCCCUCCUGCCUGUCUGCACCAGGUGCUGCACCCCCAAGCAGCACAGGUGUGAUCACAAGAACCUGCCCUGCACUGCCCCCUGCCUCCGGUCCCGCUCUGUCAGCCCCAGUACAUGCCACAAAUGACCCAUUCCCACCCCUCCCCUCCACUGGACCUGCCCUGCUGCGCCAUAGCUGAGUCACUGGCCCUGACCACCUAGACAAGGUGGUGAGAAGUAUUGUGCCCACAGACGACCAAGCAACAAAACAAGCCCAGCCUACCUGCCCAGACAGAACCAAAUAAAACAAAAAAGCAGGAUAAAACAAACAAAUCUAAAGUCAGUAAAUGAAGAAAAUAAUUCCUGAAUGUGCCAAAGACAGCAGACAAUAUCAAAACAUAAAAAAACAGGACAGGAUUGCUCCAGAAAGCAUCCAAUAUAAAACACCAGGUGACCUUCCAGUAGAAGAAAAAGCACUGGAACUACCAGAUAGGGAAUUCAUAACUCUACUAUUUAGGACUCUUCAAAAGAUGAAGGAAAAUGGAGGCAAAAAUAAGGAAAAAAUAGACAAAAUCAUGGAAAAGACAGACAAAGCAAUGGAAGAAUUCCGGAAAAUAAUACAAGAACAAAAUGUCAAAAUAAAUAACUAGAAAUCAUACAAAACUGCAAUUAGAAAUCCAAAAGUAAACAAGAUUUCAGAAAUGCACAGUUGAGUGCAAUAGAAGGUUUUAGGAGUAAAUUUGAAACAAUGGAAGACAGGAUCAGUGAAAUUGAAAACAAAUCCUUGGAUGCCACUUUGAGGAAAAGUCAGAGAAAAAGAAUGAAGAAAAAUGAAGAAACGCUAAGAAUGAUAUGGGAUGCAAUCAAAAGCAAAGAUUUGCUGGCAGAAAAUUUCCCUAAUAUCACAAACAAUGAAAAGCUGACCAUCCAAGAAGCUCAGUGAACCCAUAUAGGAUAGACCCCAAAAGAAAAACAGCAAGACAUAUCAUAAUCACACUUGCUAAAACCAAAGACAAAGAGAAUCCUGAGAGCAGCUCAAGAAAAAUGAAAAUUCACAUAAAAAGGGAAAACAGUAAGACUAAGCUCUGAUUACUUGGCAGAAACCAUGAAGGCAAGAAGGCAAUGGGAUAACAUAUAUAACACCUUGAAGGAAAAAAAUUGCCAACCAAGAAUAAUAUAUCCUGCAAAACUCUCACUCAUAUGUGACGGUGAAAUUUGGACAUUUUCAGAUAAACAAAAAGGAAUAUGUAAAAUCCAAACCAAACUUAUAAGAAUUAUUAAAGGAAGUCCUUCAGUUAGAGAACCAAAACCACCAGACAACAACCUGAAUCUAGCACGUAAGACAACAUCAGCCAGAUACCAACGUAGGUAGUGAACUCUCAAGGAUAAAGCAAAACUGAAAGAUUUAUAUCAGGAAACCACAGAGGUCAGUCUGUAAAUAAUAACAUUAGAACAAUAAAAGAGGGAAUAAGUGGUAUAGGUAUAGAACUUUCAAAUGGAGGGGAAAUCAAGGCAAUAUCAAGUAAUAAAAGGCUGGUUUAAAUUUAGGAAGAUAGGGGUAAAUUUCAAGGUAACUGCAAAGAAAGUUUACUUUCUCAUGAAAAUAAAGAAGGAAAACAAAGUCUCAGUAAAUGGAAAAUCUACAGAAACGAAAGAAACGGAAAAAAAAAAAAACAGACAAAAGGAAUUCAGCACAGGAGAGUAAGAGGAACAAAGAAAACUUCUGCACCACAAAAGCAAAAACAAUAAAAGCACUAUGGAAUAACAGCAAUAAACUCACACCUGUCAAUGAUCGCACUGAACGUAAAUGGCUUAAAUGCACCCGUAGACAAAGAGUGGCAGAAUGGAUUAACAAAGCAGGGUCCAUCAAUAUGCUGUCUACAAGAGACACACCUUAGAAGCAAAGAGAUAACUGUAUUAAAAAUCAAAGGAUGGAAAAAACAUCAAGCAAACAGCAACCAAAAAAGAGCAGAAGUGGCAGUACUCAUCUCAGAUAAAAUAGACUUUAAAACAAAAUCCACCAUAAAUGGCAAGGAAGGAUAUUAUAUAAUGAUUAGAGGGACAAUGCACCAUGAGGCCAUAACCAUAAUAUCUAUGCAUCCAAUGACAGGGCUCCAAAAUACAUGAAACAAACUCUAAAAGCACUGGAAAAAGAAAUUGACAGGUCCACAAUAUUAGUAGGAGACUUCAACACAGUACUCUCGGUAAAAGACAAGACAUGUAGAACAAAACUCAGCAAAGAUACAGAAGAUCUAAAGGCCACAAUGAGCCAGCUUGACCUCACAGACAUAUAUAGAACACCACUCUACCCAACAGCAGCAGAGUACACAUUCUUUUCCAUUGCACAUGGAAUGUUUUCCAGAAUAGACCACAUCUUAGGCCACAAAGCAACCCUCUCAACAAAAUCCAAAAUGUUGAGUUAAUACAAAACAUCUUCUCUGAUCACAACCCCAAGAAUGUAGAAAUUAGUAACAGGAAGAGCAAGGAAAAAAUCAAACACAUGGAAACUGAAUAACACCCUGCUUAAAAAUCAUCAAGUAAUAGAAGAAAUCAAAGAUAGAAUGAAAAAAUUCCUAGAAUCAAACGUGAAUGAAAACACAUCAUGCCAUAACCUUUGGGACACAACAAAGGCAGUGCUCUGAGGUCAAUUUAUAGCAGUAGAUGCAGACAUCAAAAAAGAAGAAAGGGACAAAAUCAAAAUAUUAGCUACACAAAAGAAGCCCACAGCCACCAGAAGAAAGGAAAUAAUAAGGAUCAGAGUAGAAAUAAAUGAAAUAGAGAAUAGAAAAACUAGAGAAAGAAUCAACAAAACUGAAAGUUGGUUUUUGAAACAAUCAACAGAAUUGACAAACCAUUGGCCAAACUGACUAAAGAAAAACGAGAAAACACAGAAAACCCAAAUAAUAAAUGAAGUAGGGGACAUUACAAGAGACCCAACUGAAACAAAAAGGAUUAUCACAGAGUGCUAUGAGAAACUAUACUGUAAUGAAUUUGAAAACCUAGAGGCAACGACAAAUUUCUAGAAACACACUACCUACCUAAACUAACACAAACUGAAGUCAAAAAUCUGAACAAGCCCAUAACAACAAAGGAGAAUGAAAAGGUAAUAAAAAAAAAGUCCCAACAAAAAAAAGCCCUGGCCUGGAAAAUUCUACCAAACAUUCUGAGAAGAGUUUGCACCGAUACUACUCAAGCUGUUUCAAAAUAUAGAAAAAGAAGGGAUAUUUCCAAAUUCAUCCUACAAAGCCAGCUUAAACCUGAUACAAAACCAGGCAAAGACACAACAAAAAAAGAAAAUUACAGACAAACAUUUCUCAUGAAUAUAAAUGUAAAAGUUCUCAAAAUUCUAGCCAAUAGAAUUCAUCAUAUCAAAAAAAAAAAUACACCA